UUAAUGACAAUUAAAAUCAAAGCCUUUUUUAUGUACGUACACUCAAAAUUCGUUGAAUUUCUUUAAAUGCGUCCGCGGCCUGCGACCGAACGGAUGAACUGCGCCAGAGGUUGUAACUGCGAGUUUCUUGCUCAACGCUCGAACAUCGACAAACAUUAUCAGUCCCAAAUCCGAACUCUGUGCUAUGUGCGCAAUGUAACCCAGAGAGCAGUAAAGUGGUUUUCAGCUACACAAAAAAAAAUGCUAUACCGCUUGCAAAAUGUUCGACAGCAGCCGAUUGACAGAUGGAUUAGUCUGUGUGAAUUGUAUAAACAGCUAGUCGAGUUUCGUUUAUGAUCAGCAAGAGCGCAGUAUAAAAUCGAAUAUGUGGACAAAUUUUUUACCUAUCGGAAG